rnacentral:rRNA from 1 species
GAUGAACGCUGGCGGCGUGCCUAAUACAUGCAAGUCGAGCGAACGGACGAGAAGCUUGCUUCUCUGAUGUUAGCGGCGGACGGGUGAGUAACACGUGGAUAACCUACCUAUAAGACUGGGAUAACUUCGGGAAACCGUAGCUAAUACCGGAUAAUAUUUUGAACCGCAUGGUUCAAAAGUGAAAGACGGUCUUGCUGUCACUUAUAGAUGGAUCCGCGCUGCAUUAGCUAGUUGGUAAGGUAACGGCUUACCAAAGCAACGAUGCAUAGCCGACCUGAGAGGGUGAUCGGCCACACUGGAACUGAGACACGGUCCAGACUCCUACGGGAGGCAGCAGUAGGGAAUCUUCCGCAAUGGGCGAAAGCCUGACGGAGCAACGCCGCGUGAGUGAUGAAGGUCUUCGGAUCGUAAAACUCUGUUAUUAGGGAAGAACAUAUGUGUAAGUAACUGUGCACAUCUUGACGGUACCUAAUCAGAAAGCCACGGCUAACUACGUG